rnacentral:lncRNA from 1 species
AAACUUUGUGCGUCUCUGCAGAGGCUGUAAAUGAGGCCAUCAGCACCACUUCCACUCUGGCUACCACUGUGAGCCUGACUUCAGAGUCAGGAAACCUGCAGAGGACACCAACAGCUCCUCAGACCACAGGUCAGAAGGUCAGGCCUCGUGCUUCCACCUCUGUAACACCUGGAAAAGAAACAUUAGGUAUCAUUCAUGUACAGACUGUUUAAACAUCUGUUAGUCACACAGAUAAGAUGAAAUGAGGAAGUACAGAUUUCUCAGAAACUCUACAGAAAAUGGUGACAUGUGUGUCAUGCUGAUAUGUUUCUAUCCUCAAGUAUCAGGUAGUGCUCAUCUGACCUCUGCUGUGACCUCUGCUGUGACCUCUACUGGUCAUCCAGCAUCACCGGACACAGAAACUGUCAGUCAGAAGAAGAGCGAUAAAACUCCACUAAACCCAUCCUCAGGAAUGCUGAAGUUAAUAGCAGUUGUGGUCGGAAUGUCUGUGGGUGUUGUUGUUCUGAUGCUGGCACUGCUCGGAGCCAAAAGAAGAAGUGAAAUAUGCUCUUACAAGAGAACACAAACCAACACCAAGGGUGAUGUACAGAUGACAAAUGGAAGGGUACCUGCAGAUAACGAUGGAGCCUACAGUUUGAUCAGCUCUGAACCCGAUGCUGUCUGUGCUGCAGGUUCUCAGAAGCUGAACAAGCAACAGUGUCUGAGUGACGAUUCAGAUGUGUACCAUGUGUACUCCACCAUCCCUGACAGGCCACAAGCACCAGCACCAGCAGCAGCACCGCAGAAUAUGAUGUACACCCUCCUGCAAGCACACUGAGACACAAGAUGCUGUAAAUGUACAGAAAAAAAGAUUAAACCUCUUUGUUUUUACUGUGUUUUGUGAUCUAACAUGGAUGAAGCC